rnacentral:rRNA from 1 species
UACGAAGGGGGCUAGCGUUGCUCGGAAUCACUGGGCGUAAAGGGUGCGUAGGCGGGUCUUUAAGUCAGGGGUGAAAUCCUGGAGCUCAACUCCAGAACUGCCUUUGAUACUGAAGAUCUUGAGUUCGGGAGAGGUGAGUGGGACUGCGAGUGUAGAGGUGAAAUUCGUAGAUAUUCGCAAGAACACCAGUGGCGAAGGCGGCUCACUGGCCCGAUACUGACGCUGAGGCACGAAAGCGUGGGGAGCAAAUAGG